GACGGAGGAUGCAAGCGUUAUCCGGAAUGAUUGGGCGUAGAGCGUCCGCAGGUGGCAGUUCAAGUCUGCUGUCAAAGACCGGGGCUUAACUUCGGAAAGGCAGUGGAAACUGAACAGCUAGAGUAUGGUAGGGGCAGAGGGAAUUCCUGGUGUAGCGGUGAAAUGCGUAGAUAUCAGGAAGAACAUCGGUGGCGAAGGCGAUCUGCUGGACCAUAACUGACACUCAGGGACGAAAGCUAGGGGAGCGAAUGGG
rnacentral:rRNA from 1 species